rnacentral:lncRNA from 1 species
CGGACUUGAGGUGCCUUGUUUUCUAACUCUCAGAGUGACCUAGGGGCAUAUUGUGAGCCAGCCUGGUCAGCUAAGGAGCCCCACAGUUUUGCCACUUCCCUGUCGCCUUCACGGCGCCCCCCUCUGGCUGUGGAGGGCAUGGCUUCUCACUGGAUAGUGCCAGCCUUCUGGGGAUAUUACUGUGUGACUGCCCCACCAGGAACCAGAGGCCC